CAUACAAUAAUUUAAAGUUGAUAGAAUAAAUUCCAUGUAGUGCGUAGGGCUCUUGCUUUAAUCAUCAGUAGUAAAACAUUGAACGUGCACCAGUACUUUUGUCCGGUGGUAUAAACUUGGUAUCUUAGUUCAAAUGUUGAAAGCGCCAUCAUGAAAUAUGAAGAAGAUCCUGCUCAAAUUGAUAAGCCAUUAACAUAUAUAUGAACUAGGAAAUUUGAUCACCAACCUGGACUUUGCUUUGUGAUAGACAUUCUGAUCCAUUUUAAGAGCUAAAAUUUGCUCUCAACUCCCUGUUACUCUAAUCCAAAGCUAUUGCAAAAUUACGAUACAACUUUGUCAAAGCUUAGAAAAUAUCAGAAGAAGAAGAAUAUAUAUAGUCUAGUCCUGAUUAAUGGGAAGGGGUGCAUCAAUUAUUGUAUGUCACUAGAAACAAAUCAGGUAGUAGUCACUUUAAUCACGUUAUACUUUAAUGAAUAGGCUUGCCACUGAAUAAAGAAAAUUCCAGCUCUCGAUCAGUCUCAAUGUCUCAUCUCACAAACCAACAAAACUUACUCCUCCUACUUGAUAAUACCAUGUGCAUUGAACUUUUCUAUGUCUCCAACAAUUAAAUGGGCCCGCUUUCAUUUCCUGUAUCAUGGUCCUUGUGUGGGGACUUAUUGUAUUCUUCCUGUAAAUUAAUUGUUAAGUUUAGUAGCCAUAAUGGAUUUAUAAUCUUAAACUUAUAACAAAAAACAUAUAUGAAUUCACUUGAUUGGUACACUUCUAGCUUUAGUUAUCAAUAGAGAAAUGGAAAAUGUUCAGUAAAACAUUGAAUGUGCAGUAGUAUGAUGCGGUUUCAUCCACCUCUAUACACUUUUACUCUCUAAUUUUCAGAAGAUGGAAGGGCUUAAUUAUAAAGUUCACAAAGUUGUUAAUCCUCAAAGAUGAGGAAGAUCCUGCUCAGAUUUAUAUGCAUAAAAAUUUAAAUGAACCCGGCAAUUUUAACAACAAACUGGCUUGCUCUGUGAUAGGCAUUUUGAUCCACUUUAAGAGAUAAAAUAUGUUUUAUUAUUUUGGGCCAAAUUGCAUGUAGUCUACUGAUAUAGUUGGAGAAGAAGGUAUGUAUUUAACCCAUCAGAAUAACUUUAACGGGGAUCAAAAGUUCAGCAAUGUUGUCCAGCUCUGCUUUACAGAGCUAAAAAAGUGAAACUAUAAGCUUAUAAGAACUUCUUCCACAGUCUCAUUCAGGAUGAGAAGAUUACUGCAGGCUCAACUCCUGCACUAUACAUGGUCACUUGAAAAUUUCCGCUUGAUUAGCAUCUGACUUGAGCCUCAGCCUUCAAUUUGUCUAAAUAAUGUUAGUAAAUAUAUGAAACAAAAAUUUGUGAAGGCGAAUACUAUAAAACCAUCUAUUAAAAUCACUUCCACUUCACUCUUCUUAUCUUACCAUAUGAACACAACCAGAAAAAGAAUGGACUUGAAACCACUACAAGAAAAAACACUAAAAGCCAUCAAAUAAAAGCAACCAAGUAUAAAAGUCACCGGAAAUAGUCGUUAUUCAAAAUAGAAAUUUGAGCUGACUAGCGACCGUGUUUGGUCGCUUUUAUUGACGGUCGUUUUUGUUUGGUGGCUUUUUAUAAGAGGUCGCUUUUGUUUGUUUGCUUUUAAAUAUACUAGGUCUUGCGGUCGCUUUUAACUUUUAUGUGUUGAGUGGGAAAAUUCCCGUGCUCGAAAAGUAAAAAAUAUAAAAACAAAAGCGACAGUUUUAUAGUCAAUUUACAGAUCAAACAUUCUAAAAGAGAGAGGACACCAUAUAUAUUGUUAACUUAUCUUCACAUAUAUAUCAACAAUAUAACACUGAUACUAAUUACUUACCGAAAGGCAGCUGCGAGUUCAUGAUUUUUUCUGCCUCCCUAUUUAUUUGUUUAAGCUAGGUUUACAUCAGAUAAAUAUGUGUAUUUAAUGUUAGUGGUAAGUAUGCAAGUCAAAUAUAGCAAAAAAAUUUAUUACUCAUCAAGCAUGAAACAAUUUAAUCAAAUUCCAAGUUUAGAGCAACCCCAAUGCAAGCUCUCCUUACUCAUAUUUGAUCUAGGUGGACAAGAUUUAGGGGUUAGGAUAAAAAAUCAGUCCUCCAACGCAACAUUCUAUCCCCUAAAAAUUUUAGGGGAGAGAAAACUCAUCCCCAGAGCAACCCCAAUGGUGUUACUUAUCUUCGACCCCUAAAAUAUAAUAAAAUAAUGAUUACCUAAAAUAUAAGUAAGCAAAAACUUGUUUUACUCCAAUGGUAUUCCCUAUAUUUGAAAAAAAAAAAUUUAUUAAAACUUUUACUAUGGUGGGGUAGAUAAAAAAAGGAGGGAAAAUAAAAAAUGAAAGAAAAUGAGAGAGAAAGAGAUGAGUUGGAAGAAAUAGAGGCUCACUUUUCUAUCCCCAAAAGAAGGGGUUUUGUUUUCUCUCACCUAAAAAUUUUAGGUAAGGAGAGGAUGGUUGGAGUGAAGAAUUUUUACUUCAACCCCUAUUUUUGUCCACGUAGGCUCAUUAUAGGUAAGGGAGGUGUUCCCUUGGAGUUGCUCUUAUUUGAGGGAGCAAAAAGUCAACCCCUAUAAUGUCACAUCAUCAAUAUACUUAAAAUAUAACAUAUAUUUACUCCAACUCUACCUUUUCUCACAUAUAUUACCUUAAAUAUUGGAUAAAUACUAAAUUUUAAAUUAUAAGUAACAGGUAUAGGUAAUACCAUUGGAGUAAAACAAUUUUUUGCUUACCUAUAUUUUAGGUAUCUAUUAUUUUAUUAUAUUUUAGGUAACCAAUAUAGGGAUUACCCUUGGAGAUGUUUUUAUGAGAAAAAACUUGAGAAAGAGAGAGAGAGAGAGAGAGAGAGAGAAAAGGGUUAGAAAAGUGAAGAAGAAUCAUGGAAGAAGUAGGAACAUUGGUUCAUAAAUUAAGGAAACAUUGGUUCAUAAAUUAAGUAAUACCUACCUUAACUUUCCUUAAAUUGUUACAUUAAAUGCAUCAUUUAUGAAUUAGAUUACAGUAUUUGUACUUGUACCAGGGGUCCUAUGUUAUCACAUGUUCUUUAAUAUUAGGAUAAUACUACUGGAUAUUCCAAAUUAUUUUCAAUCAAAUAGGUGAUAUGUCAAUUGGGAUGAUUAUAUUAAUGAGGUUGUUGAUACAAGUGUAUCUGUAAUAUAAACCCGUUGUACAACAUACUAAAACAUGACCUUCUGUUAUACAAAUACACUUGUCGGAUACUCUUAUCAACAAGGGUAGCUAACUACAUAAACUGUUGUCUGUAUAGCUACUAACAACACAAAUCCAAAAUAAAUCCAAAAUAAGACUAAUGUUGUGAAACCCUUAUAACAACACUUUCUUAAACAAACAUGUUGUUGUUUCUGGAUGUGGCACAACACGCCCUAAAAUAUAAACAAUUGUGCUUCUUUUUCUCACACAACGGUUCGUACCAUUGUCUGAGUUGCGUAUCAGACGGCACCUCAAUAGACCACGGUUUUCUUUGGCAUCAGACAACGGGCAAAAACCAUUGUCUGAUGCCAGUUUUGUUGUAGUGUGAGAAUGAGAAUGAGAAUGAGAAUCGGGAAUCGGGAAUGAAGGGUACAGGAAGGAAUGACAUCCGAAAGGGGUGUUAAAGAAAUCAUUUCCCGCUAUGUAAUAUCAGUCCAAGUUGUAAACUAUUAGAUGAAAUUGUAAGAUAAUAAAACUGAUAAAAAGCUAGAGGUUGUGGGGAGUAGGCAGGGAGUUAAAAUUCCUGAAAGAACUAGCAAAGCAGAAACAACAUAUCUUUUUUAUAGGUGCAGCAAAAUCCUCACUCAAGUCCACAGAUCUGUGGAACUUCUUAUUUGUUUUCGCAAGUUUCCACCAGGUAUAUACAUGUAUCAAUUUUAAAUGAUAACCCUAAAGCAAAUGAAGUUCAGAAAUUGAAAACCAGGGGUCCACAAUUCAGGUAUCGUACGAGCACGAGGAGUGUCUCUCAAUAAUGAAAACCAGUUGUAUCAACCUGUUCUUGUGCCUGUUUGGGUUCAGUCGAACCAUAUUGGUUUAAUAUAUCUGCUUCCAUAUUAUAAUUUAGCUGGAGCCUGGAGCAUCAGCAUCUCCUGUAAUGGCAGCAUAAUACAAAGCAUCUAGAUCCAUAACUACUAUAUAUUAUUCUACCAGGGCUCCUGGCUAUAUAAGUUCAUAUAAAUCAGAUCGAAUCACUGGAUUAAUAGAAGAAACUUACUCCUAAUUAUUGGAAAGGGAUGCAUAUAAAUUAGGAGCAGCAGUGGAAGUUGUGAAUUAUUACUCCUAAUUAUUGGCUGUUGGGCAAAGGAUUAAAAGAGGAGCUCGACGUCUUCAGAACCGCAGAACGGAGUAUUUGUGAAUUAGCCAAUUGCCGCUUGCCAGAAUGAAAUACAAUAAACUAGAAUACAAUAAUUUAGAGUUCAAACAAUAAUUGCCAUUCCGUCCCUACAAUCAUUAAUAGAAAAAUGGAAAUUUUGUUGUAAAACUUUGAAUGUGCACUAGUACUUCUGCUGGGUUCCCUACACUUUGUUUCUUAUUUUAAAUUAUGAAAGUGGUAGAUUAAAUGAAGUUAAGAAAGUUGAUACUCAUCAAAGAUGAAGAAGAUCCUGCUUCGAUUGAUAUGCCAUACACAUCUAUAUAAACUAGGAAAUUUGAUUUAAAAAAAUGUGGAUUUGCUUUGUGAUAAACAUUCUGAUCCAUUUUAACGGAUAAAAUUUGCUAUCAACUCCCUAAUUAAACCAGCAUUAAGAUUCCCCUCAUGGGAUUGGGUUGUCAAAGGAUUCAAUAGAGACCUCUUUGGUAAAUAAUGGGAUAUGAUCAACUAAGCACAAUGACCUUCGAGCAACCAGCACCUCUUCAAGGUAUCAUAUCUCCCAUAUGAUAUGUGGAGCAUGAUGAAUUUUACCAUUACUAUUCACGUGUGUUUCAUUAUAACAACAUGAGUAUUCGCUUAAUUAUCUUCCUAAUCAUCAAGAGUAAUUGCCUUGAAGACACUCAAGUAUUCGCUUAAUCAGCUUCCUAAUACCAUAACUUUUAACUCAGCACACUAUAUUUCAAUAGUUAUUUAACAUGGAGGGUAUCUAUAAUGGACUCCAUUAUUUUUCUUGUCACUACUCACACAGUCAAGUAUUGAUGAAUAUAUUGUGGUGUAAAAUUUCAAAGUAGGUCCUUAUUGUCCCCAGUUUGAUGUAAAUUGGUUGUUGGGUUUAGUAGUGAAAGAGGAUCUAGACGUUUUCACAGCGAAAUAUUUGUAAAAUAAUAAGCCAAUAUCCACUUGCCAGAAUGACAUACAAUAAUUUAAAGUUCAUACCAUCAUUGCCAUGUAGUGCGCAGGGUUCAUGCUUUAAUCAUCACUAGUAAAACCUUGAACGUGCACUACUUUUGUCCGGUGGUGUAAACUUGGAACUUGGUACCUUAGUUCAAACGUUGAAAGUGCUACCAUGAAAUACGAAGAAGAUCCUGCUCAGAUUGAUAGGCCAUUAAAAUACAUAUGAACUUGGAAAUUUGAUUACCAACCUGGACUUUGCUUUGUGAUAGACAUUCUGAUCCAUUUUAAGAGCUAAAAUUUGCUCUCAACUCCCUGUUACUCUAAUCCAAAGCUGUUGCAAAAUUAUGAUACAACUUUGUCAAAGGCUUACAAAAUAUCAAAAGAAGAAGAAUAUAGUCUAAUUUCCCCUUGUAUAUAUAUAACCACCAUCACGGCCUAGUCCUGAUUAAUGGGAAGGGAUGCAUCAAUUAUUGUAUGUCACUACAAACAUUAAUUCAGGUAGUAGUACACUUUAAUCACGUUAUACUUUAAUGAAUAGGCUUGCCUCUGAAUAAAGAAAAUUCCAG
rnacentral:lncRNA from 1 species